AUAGAUAUUAAUAUUAAUUUUAAGAGAAAUGAUUCGGUACUUUAAAAAAAUAAAAAAAAAAGAAGAUCUUAACCAUUGAUUAAUAGAGGAUAAAAAUGUAACUUUAAUACUUAGCAGGUAAAAGAAUUAUUUUAUUCAAGGUUAGUUUGGUAAUUAAAUAAUACAAUAUUUAAAGAAACUUUUAAUUGAGGUCCUAAAUUUAUGCAUUAAUU
rnacentral:lncRNA from 1 species